GUCAUCGAACAUAUAUACUGCCAUUUUCCCAAAGGUGCAUGAAGAGUCUGACUGAAAUCUGUCAACAGAGAUGGAGGCAAAGCUCAGAGUAAUCCUUAAUGACAGAGUUGAGAAGUUGGUCCUUCCAUCAGGAAUCCCACCCACUGUGGAGGAGCUGCAAACUGUUGUGAAGGAGACCUUUGGAAUUUCUGAUGAGUUCAGUCUUCAGUAUUUGGACUCAGAAUUUGAAGAUUACUUUACUCUUCAUACA